UACGGAGGGUGCAAGCGUUGCUCGGAUUUAUUGGGCGUAAAGGGUAGGUAGGUGGUCUUAUUUGUCUAGGGUGAAAUCCUUGAGCUUAACUCAAGAAGUGCCCUAGAAACGGUAAGACUAGAGUCCUGGAGAGGGUCGUGGAAUUCCCGGUGUAGCGGUGAAAUGCGUAGAGAUCGGGAGGAACACCAGAGGCGAAGGCGACGACCUGGACAGGUACUGACACUAAACUACGAAAGCGUGGGGAGCAAACAGG
rnacentral:rRNA from 1 species